AGUCGAGCGAGCUUGCCUAGAUGAAUUUGGUGCUUGCACCAGAUGAAACUAGAUACAAGCGAGCGGCGGACGGGUGAGUAACACGUGGGUAACCUGCCCAAGAGACUGGGAUAACACCUGGAAACAGAUGCUAAUACCGGAUAACAACACUAGACGCAUGUCUAGAGUUUAAAAGAUGGUUCUGCUAUCACUCUUGGAUGGACCUGCGGUGCAUUAGCUAGUUGGUAAGGUAACGGCUUACCAAGGCAAUGAUGCAUAGCCGAGUUGAGAGACUGGUCGGCCACAUUGGGACUGAGACACGGCCCAAACUCCUACGGGAGGCAGCAGUAGGGAAUCUUCCACAAUGGACGCAAGUCUGAUGGAGCAACGCCGCGUGAGUGAAGAAGGGUUUCGGCUCGUAAAGCUCUGUUGGUAGUGAAGAAAGAUAGAGGUAGUGACUGGCCUUUAUUUGACGGUAAUUACUUAGAAAGUCACGGCUAACUACGUGCCAGCAGCCGCGGUAAUACGUAGGUGGCAAGCGUUGUCCGGAUUUAUUGGGCGUAAAGCGAGUGCAGGCGGUUCAAUAAGUCUGAUGUGAAAGCCUUCGGCUCAACCGGAGAAUUGCAUCAGAAACUGUUGAACUUGAGUGCAGAAGAGGAGAGUGGAACUCCAUGUGUAGCGGUGGAAUGCGUAGAUAUAUGGAAGAACACCAGUGGCGAAGGCGGCUCUCUGGUCUGCAACUGACGCUGAGGCUCGAAAGCAUGGGUAGCGAACAGGAUUAGAUACCCUGGUAGUCCAUGCCGUANACGAUGAGUGCUAAGUGUUGGGAGGUUUCCGCCUCUCAGUGCUGCAGCUAACGCAUUAAGCACU
rnacentral:rRNA from 1 species